CCUUCGGGUUGUAAAGCACUUUUGUCAGGGAAGAAAAGGUUCCUAAUAAUACUAGGGGCUGAUGACGGUACCUGAAGAAUAAGCACCGGCUAACUACGUGC
rnacentral:rRNA from 1 species